GAUGAACGCUAGCUACAGGCUUAACACAUGCAAGUCGAGGGGCAGCAUGAUUGAAGCUUGCUUCAAUCGAUGGCGACCGGCGCACGGGUGAGUAACACGUAUCCAACCUGCCGAUAACUCGGGGAUAGCCUUUCGAAAGAAAGAUUAAUACCCGAUAGUAUAGUAUUUCCGCAUGGUUUCACUAUUAAAGAACUUCGGUUAUCGAUGGGGAUGCGUUCCAUUAGAUAGUUGGCGGGGUAACGGCCCACCAAGUCAACGAUGGAUAGGGGUUCUGAGAGGAAGGUCCCCCACAUUGGAACUGAGACACGGUCCAAACUCCUACGGGAGGCAGCAGUGAGGAAUAGUGGUCAAUGGACGAGAGUCUGAACCAGCCAAGUAGCGUGAAGGAGGACUGCCCUAUGGGUUGUAAACUUCUUUUAUACGGGAAUAAAGUGGAGUAUGCAUACUCCUUUGUAUGUACCGGAUGAAUAAGGAUCGGCUAACUCCGUG
rnacentral:rRNA from 1 species